AUUCUCUCAGAGUCGCACCUGGAGAGUUUCUCAUACUCUACCAGCCUCGACUACGAGAGGGAGAGUCAAGCAGAGGCCUACUCAUUCCAUUCCUAGCUUGGCCAGUGGCUAGCGAGCGGAAGGCAAUCUGCUACAAGU